UACGGGGGGGCAAGCGUUGUUCGGAAUUACUGGGCGUAAAGGGCUCGUAGGCGGCCAACUAAGUCAGACGUGAAAUCCCCAGGCUCAACCUGGGAACUGCGUCUGAUACUGGAUGGCUUGAAUCGGGAGAGGGAUGCAGAAUUCCAGGUGUAGCGGUGAAAUGCGUAGAUAUCUGGAGGAAUACCGGUGGCGAAGGCGGCAUCCUGGACCGACAUUGACGCUGAUGAGCGAAAGCUAGGGAGCAACGGGAU
rnacentral:rRNA from 1 species